GAUGAACGCUGGCGGCGUGCCUAAUACAUGCAAGUCGAGCGAACGGACGAGAAGCUUGCUUCUCUGAUGUUAGCGGCGGACGGGUGAGUAACACGUUGAUAACCUACCUAUAAUACUGGGAUAACUUCGGGACACCGGAGCUAAUACCGGAUAAUAUUUUUAACCGCAUGGUUCAAAAGUGAAAGACUGUCUUGCUGUCACUUAUAGAUGUAUCCGCGCUGCAUUAGCUAGUUGGUAAGGUAACGGCUUACCAAGGCAACGAUGCAUAGCCGACCUGAGAGGGUGAUCGGCCAAACUGGAACUGAGACACGGUCAAGACUCCUACGGGAGGCAGCAGUAGGGAAUCUUGCGCAAAGGGCGAAAGCCUGACGGAGCAACGCCGCGAGAGUGAUGAAGGUCUUCGGAUCGUAAAACUCUGUUAUUAGGGAAGAACAUAUGUGUAAGUAACUGUGCACAUCUUGACGGUACCUAAUCAGAAAGCCACGGCUAACUACGUG
rnacentral:rRNA from 1 species